rnacentral:rRNA from 1 species
UACAGAGGUGGCAAGCGUUGUUCGGAAUUACUGGGCGUAAAGGGCGCGUAGGCGGCCAUCUAAGUCAGACGUGAAAUCCCCCGGCUUAACCUGGGAACUGCGUCUGGUACUGGAAGGCUUGAGUAUGGGAGAGGGAUGCGGAAUUCCAGGUGUAGCGGUGAAAUGCGUAGAUAUCUGGAGGAACACCGGUGGCGAAGGCGGCAUCCUGGACCAACACUGACGCUGAGGAGCGAAAGCCAGGGGAGCAAACAGG